AGCAGCCGCGGUAAUUCCAGCUCCAAUAGCGUAUAUUAAAGUUGUUGCAGUUAAAAAGCUCGUAGUUGAAUUUCGGGAUCAAUAUGUUGGUCGUGCCUCGGUACGUACUAGCUUAUUGGUUUCUCCCUUCUGAAGAACCAUGAUGUCAUUCAUUUGGUGUCGUGGGGAAUCAGGACUGUUACUUUGAAAAAUUAGAGUGUUUAAAGCAGGCUCACGCUUGAAUACAUUAGCAUGGAAUAAUGAAAUAGGACGUUUGAUUCUAUUUUGUUGGUUUCUAGGAUCGACGUAAUGAUUAAUAGGGAUAGUUGGGGCAUUAGUAUUCAAUUGUCAGAGGUGAAAUUCUUGGAUUUAUUGAAGACUAACUACUGCGAAAGCAUUUGCCAAGGAUGUUUUCAUUAAUCAAAGAACGAAAGUUAGGGGAUCGAAGCGAUCAGAUACCGUCGUAGUCUUAACCAUAAAACUAUGCCGACUAGGGAUCGGAUGAUGUUAAUUUUAAUGACUCAUUC
rnacentral:rRNA from 1 species